rnacentral:tRNA from 1 species
AUUUAAAUAGUUUAUUUAAAACAUUAUAUUUUCAAUGUAAAAUUAAGAAUUUCUUUUUAAAUA